rnacentral:rRNA from 1 species
GUCGAGCGAUGAACCACCUUCGGGUGGGGAUUAGCGGCGAACGGGUGAGUAACACGUGGGCAACCUGCCCUCAGCUCUGGGAUAACUCCUCGAAAGAGGGGCUAAUACCGGAUACGACUUCCUGCGGCAUCACGGGAAGUGGAAAGUUUUUCGGCUGAGGAUGGGCCCGCGGCCUAUCAGCUUGUUGGUGGGGUAACGGCCCACCAAGGCGACGACGGGUAGCCGGCCUGAGAGGGCGACCGGCCACACUGGGACUGAGACACGGCCCAGACUCCUACGGGAGGCAGCAGUGGGGAAUAUUGCGCAAUGGGCGAAAGCCUGACGCAGCGACGCCGCGUGAGGGAUGAAGGCCUUCGGGUUGUAAACCUCUUUCAGCAGGGACGAAGCGAAAGUGACGGUACCUGCAGAAGAAGCACCGGCCAACUACGUGCCAGCAGCCGCGGUAAUACGUAGGGUGCAAGCGUUGUCCGGAAUUAUUGGGCGUAAAGAGCUCGUAGGCGGUCUGUCGCGUCGGCUGUGAAAACUCGGGGCUCAACCCCGAGCCUGCAGUCGAUACGGGCAGACUAGAGUGCUGUAGGGGAGACUGGAAUUCCUGGUGUAGCGGUGAAAUGCGCAGAUAUCAGGAGGAACACCGGUGGCGAAGGCGGGUCUCUGGGCAGUAACUGACGCUGANGAGCGAAAGCGUGGGGAGCGAACAGGAUUAGAUACCCUGGUAGUCCACGCCGUAAACGGUGGGUGCUAGGUGUANGGGGUAUUCCACGCCCUCUGUGCCGCAGCUAACGCAUUAAGCACCCCGCCUGGGGAGUACGGCCGCAAGGCUAAAACUCAAANGAAUUGACGGGGGCCCGCACAAGCAGCGGANCAUGUGGCUUAAUUCGACGCANCGCGAANAACCUUACCAAGGCUUGACAUACACCGAAAACUC